ACCUACGGGAGGCAGCAGUAGGGAAUCUUCCACAAUGGGCGAAAGCCUGAUGGAGCAACGCCGCGUGGGUGAAGAAGGUCUUCGGAUCGUAAAACCCCGUUGUUAGAGAAGAAAGUGCGUGAGAGUAACUGUUCGCGUUUCGACGGUAUCUAACCAGAAAGCCACGGCUAACUACGUGCCAGCAGCCGCGGUAAUACGUAGGUGGCAAGCGUUAUCCGGAUUUAUUGGGCGUAAAGGGAACGCAGGCGGUCUUUUAAGUCUGAUGUGAAAGCCUUCGGCUUAACCGGAGUAGUGCAUUGGAAACU
rnacentral:rRNA from 1 species